GACGAACGCUGGCGGCGUGCUUAACACAUGCAAGUCGAACGGAAAGGCCCUGCUUUUGUGGGGUGCUCGAGUGGCGAACGGGUGAGUAACACGUGAGUAACCUGCCCUUGACUUUGGGAUAACUUCAGGAAACUGGGGCUAAUACCGGAUAGGAGCUCCUGCUGCAUGGUGGGGGUUGGAAAGUUUCGGCGGUUGGGGAUGGACUCGCGGCUUAUCAGCUUGUUGGUGGGGUAGUGGCUUACCAAGGCAUUGACGGGUAGCCGGCCUGAGAGGGUGACCGGCCACAUUGGGACUGAGAUACGGCCCAGACUCCUACGGGAGGCAGCAGUGGGGAAUAUUGCACAAUGGGCGGAAGCCUGAUGCAGCAACGCCGCGUGCGGGAUGACGGCCUUCGUGUUGUAAACCGCUUUCGCCUGUGACGAAGCGUGAGUGACGGUAAUGGGUAAAGAAGCACCGGCUAACUACGUG
rnacentral:rRNA from 1 species